UAGCGUAGGGUGCAAGCGUUUGUCCGGAAGUUACUGGGACGUUAAAGAGUUCGUUAGGCGGUUUGUCACGUACGUUUGUGAAAACUCACAGCUCAACUGUGAGCCUGCGAGGCGAUACGGGCAGACUUGAGGUACUGCAGGGGAGACUGGAAUUCCUGGUGUAGCGGUGAAAUGCGCAGAUAUCAGGAGGAACACCGGUGGCGAAGGCGGGUCUCUGGGCAGUAACUGACGCUGAGGAACGAAAGCGUGGGUAGCGAACAGG
rnacentral:rRNA from 1 species